AGAGUUUGAUUCUGGCUCAGGAUGAACGCUAGCGGCAGGCCUAACACAUGCAAGUCGAGGGGCAGCAUAAAACAAGCUUGCUUGUUUGGUGGCGACCGGCGCACGGGUGCGUAACGCGUAUGCAACCUACCCUGUACUGGGGGAUAGCCCGGAGAAAUUCGGAUUAAGACCCCAUAGCACUUAAGAAUGGCAUCAUUUUUAAGUUAAAGGUUACGGUACAGGAUGGGCAUGCGUCCCAUUAGCUAGAUGGUAAGGUAACGGCUUACCAUGGCAACGAUGGGUAGGGGGCCUGAGAGGGUGGUCCCCCACACUGGUACUGAGACACGGACCAGACUCCUACGGGAGGCAGCAGUGAGGAAUAUUGGUCAAUGGGCGCAAGCCUGAACCAGCCAUGCCGCGUGCAGGAAGACGGUCCUAUGGAUUGUAAACUGCUUUUAUUUGGGAAUAAACCUAUUUACGUGUAGAUAGCUGAAGGUACCAAAUGAAUAAGCACCGGCUAACUCCGUGCCAGCAGCCGCGGUAAUACGGAGGGUGCAAGCGUUAUCCGGAAUCAUUGGGUUUAAAGGGUCCGCAGGCGGAUUUAUAAGUCAGUGGUGAAAGCCUACAG
rnacentral:rRNA from 1 species